ensembl:lncRNA
GCCUAACAGGCUGCCGUCUAUGGGGUCGCACAGAGUUGGACACGACUGAAGCGACUUAGCAGCAGCUCAAGGAUAUGAUGAAAUCCUUUCUUCUAACAUCUUCAUGAACUUCUCAGAAUAUUUACUUAGGAUAACUUUCUAAAAUUGGACUUGCUGGCUAAAAGUAUGAAGGGUGGUGCAAGCAUGCCCUGUCUUCUCCCCCACUCCUGGGCACACAGGAGACACCACUUCCCAGCCCCUAGAGUCAUUCAGGUCUUGUUCCUAAUUAUGGCCAAUGAAGUACGAGCAGCAGUGACACGUGACACGUCCAGGCUGAGACUCUGAGAUGCCCCUGGGCAGGUCUGCAGACUCCUGUUGCCUUGGUGACGUCCCAGGGCUGGAGCCUCUGUCAGCCUGGGUCCCUGAGUGACUGUGUGGAUAGCUGCCCUUCUCCCACUAUGACACGGCCCCACCUGCAUGAACCUGCAGUGUGGAUAAAGAAUAAAUGUUAAGUCUUAACACUACUGGCAUGUCACGGUUACUGAAGCACACAUAAUGUAUCCUGACUAAGAAUACAAUAUGCGCAUGUUGGGGACUUUUAAUAUGGGACUUCCCUGGUGGCUCAGCUGGUAAACAUCUCUCCUCAUAUUGCCUUCCAGAAAGAUGAUACCAAAUUAUACUCCCGCCAGCAGUGUGUGAGAACGUCUGACUCCCUCUUUUGCACUGGUGUUACUGUGGGGACCACAGGGCUAGUUUUGAUAUGCAUUUUUUUAAUUGAAAGUGUGACACACCCUAGCUGAAAUAUUUAUUAGAUUAUAUUCUUUUCUUGUUUACCUAUUCAUCUUCUCUGGCCAAUUUUCUCACAAGGUGUUUAGCUGUCUUAUUGAUUUCUAAGAACUUGUUUCCCCAGCCGCCCUCACUGCCCCCUGAUUAGCUGACUCGUUGAUUUCUAAGAAGUUGUUUUUCCCCUAAAAAUAUUUUUUUUUAAGUUCCAUAUAUGACUUGGACUAAAAAAAAUUUUAUUUUUAGUCAACUUUAUCUUUUCCUUCAUUGCUGCUGCCUUUGCUGGCCUGCUUUUAAACAUCUUUGCAUUUCUGAUUUCAAGUUAAUGAAUUUUCACCAGUCUUUUAUUUGUGUACUUUUAUCAUUUUUUUAAGCAAUUAAAUCUGUGAUCCAUUUGGAAUUUAUUUUCCAAGUUACCCCAACUUCACUUACGGGGAAACCUUUCCUUUCUCUACUGAUAAAAGACCCCACUUUUCACUGUGUACGCAAUCCUUAUAUGUCAUAAACAUCCUUCUGAACUUUCUGUGUGGUCCACGGUGUACAUUUUUGGCACUGGUACCACAUAGUUUGAUCAUCUCACAUUUGAAUGUCCCCAUUUAAAUAAAUGUCUUCAAAAAUGUCCUAGUACUUUUGUAUGUUGAUAUUUCCAAAAGAACAUCAGGUUCAUUUUGUAAUGUUUAUAGAAGAACUGAAAAUUAAAUUGUGUAAAAUUUAUAGGUUACUAUAGAGAGAAUUGGGCUUCCCUGGUGGCUCAGAUGGCUCAGAAUCCGCCCGCAUUGUGGGAGACCUGGGUUCAAUCCCUGGAUUGGGAAGAUCCCCAGGGGAGGGCAUGGCAACUCACUCCAGUAUUCUUGCCUGGAGAAUCCCCAUGGAAAGCCCUGGUGGGCUGUAGUCUAUGGAGUUGCAAAGAGUCAGACACGACUGAGCAACUUAGCACAACACAUAACUAGAAUUAACAACUUCAUAAUAUUUAACCUUUCAUUUCAGUAAAUUUAUAAAGUAUUGUGUUCCUCUGUGUAUUCUUUCUGGUAUAGAUCAUUUUUUUGUAGUUGUGGUUCUAUGGUAAAUGAGCUCUUUGUCCAUUAUAUUUUCCAGCCUCUUAUUGUUCACAUAAAGGUACACCACUGAUUAAAUCAAUUAAAUCCAUUGAUUUUUUAAAUUUAAAAUAUUACAUAAAAGCUAUGUAAAUGUAAAGAGUAUGAAAAAACAUAAUAUGGAAAUUGAAAGCCCCCCAUAAUUAAAAAUCCCUCUGCCCCAAGAUAAAACAGUCAACAGGGAUCUACUGCUGCUGCUGCUAAGUCGCUUCAGUCGUGUCCGACUCUGUGCGACCCCAUAGACGGUAGCCCACCAGACUCCCCCGUCCCUGGGAUUCUCCAGGCAAGAACACUGGAGUGGGUUGCCAUUUCCUUCUCCAGUGCGUGAAAGUGAAGUCGCUCAGUCGUGUCCGACUCCUUGCGACCCCAUGGACUGCAGCCCACCAGGCUCCUCCGUCCGUGGGAUUUUCCAGGCAAGAGUCCUGCAGUGGGGUGCCAUUGCCUUCUCCACAACAGGGAUCCCUGGUCCUCAAAUCUUUUUUUCCUGAAAUAUAUUUUAUCAUUUGGACCAUAUGAUAGACCCUUCUGCUACUUGCAUUUUUCCCUUGGCAAUAGAUCUUGGACAUUUUCCUGUCUGUAGAUAUCAAUCUACCUCAUUUUUCUUAACUCUUCAUAGAGAGUUCUAUGGUUGUUUGUUUAUCUAAUGUGAUAAUUGGUUAUUUAUUUUGUAGCUAGCCAGUUACUGAAUUUCCUUUUAAUUGUUUUGCUGUUAAUUCUCUUGCCUUUUUCACGUAGAUAAUAGUUCUGAGUAGUGAUGGUAACUUUACCUCCAUAUUUUUAAAUAAUUUUAAAUAAUUUUAAAUAAUCUUAUUUCACUACCUUAUCACAUUGAACAGCACUUUUAGAAUAAUGGUAAAUAACAUCUAUAUAAAUUGUGCCGAUAUUGUACAUUCUUCUUUAUAUAUAUUUUUUACUUGGUAAUACCUCCAGU